rnacentral:rRNA from 1 species
GAUGAACGCUGGCGGCGUGCCUAACACAUGCAAGUUGAACGAAGCACUUACGACGGAAUCCUCCGGGAGGAAGAUGUAAGCGACUUAGUGGCGGACGGGUGAGUAACGCGUGGGUAACCUGCCCUGUACAGGGGGACAACAGCCGGAAACAGCUGCUAAUACCCCAUAAGCGCACGGUAUCGCAUGAUACAGUGUGAAAAGCCGAGACGGUACAGGAUGGACCCGCGUCUGAUUAGAUAGUUGGUGGGGUAACGGCCUACCAAGUCAGCAAUCAGUAGCCGGCCUGAGAGGGUGAACGGCCACAUUGGAACUGAGACACGGUCCAAACUCCUACGGGAGGCAGCAGUGGGGAAUAUUGCACAAUGGGGGAAACCCUGAUGCAGCGACGCCGCGUGAAGGAAGAAGUAUUUCGGUAUGUAAACUUCUAUCAGCAGGGAAGAAAAUGACGGUACCUGACUAAGA